AUACCUUUCUUGGCCUUUUGGCUAAGUGUAAUAUCUUUUCUUAACAAUUUAAUAUCCGAUAUGUGGUCCAUUGGCCCCAAUGGUAUUAAAUUAAUCUUUUUAGGGGAGGUCAUAUCGCAGGAAUUUACUACUGGAACCUUCAGAAUUUUCUUGGCUAUAUAUACUCGUUACUUGUGAACUCCCUUAUU
rnacentral:snRNA from 1 species